AAAUAGCGGGUAAUACCGAAUACGGUCUAACCAGUGGAAUGGUUAGAAGAAAGGCGCUUUGGCGCCGCCAUGAGAUGGGCCCGCGUUCCAUUAGCUAGUUGGGGGUGUAACGGACCACCAAGGCGAUGAUGGGUAGCCGGCCUGAGAGGGUGAACGGCCACACUGGGACUGAGAUACGGCCCAGACUCCUACGGGAGGCAGCAGCUAAGAAUAUUCCGCAAUGGGCGAAAGCCUGACGGAGCGACGCCGCGUGGAUGAGGAAGGCCGAAAGGUUGUAAAAUCCUUUUGUUGCUGAAGAAUAAGCGGGGGAGGGAAUGCCCCUGUGAUGGCAUUAGGCGAUGAAUAAGCCCCGGCUAAUUACGUGCCAGCAGCCGCGGUAACACGUAAGGGGCGAGCGUUGUUCGGAAUUAUUGGGCGUAAAGGGCACGUAGGCGGUUUUAUAAGCCUGAUGUGAAAGGCCGGGGCUUAACCCCGGGACUGCGUUAGGAACUGUAGGACUUGAGUCAUGGAGGGGGAGUUGGAAUUCCAGGUGUAGGGGUGAAAUCUGUAGAUAUCUGGAAGAACACCGGUGCGAAGGCGAAC
rnacentral:rRNA from 1 species